rnacentral:rRNA from 1 species
AUGUACAUUCCUACAACAUAUUGUUAAUGCAUCGGAUCACAUUAGAACUUUGCAGUUAAGCGUGCUCGGGCUAGAGUAGUACUGGGAUGGGUGACCGCCAAGGACGUCCUAGUAUUUUACAUG